rnacentral:rRNA from 1 species
UACGAGGGGGGCAAGCGUUGUUCGGAAUUAUUGGGCGUAAAGGGCGCGUAGGCGGUUUGACAAGUCUGAUGUGAAAUCUAUGGGCUCAACCCAUAGCCUGCAUUAGAAACUGUCGGGCUUGAGUAUGGGAGAGGUGAGUGGAAUUUCCGGUGUAGCGGUGAAAUGCGUAGAUAUCGGGAGGAACACCUGUGGCGAAAGCGGCGCACUGGACCACAACUGACGCUGAGGCGCGAAAGCUAGGGGAGCAAACAGG